GACUACAUGAAGCUGGAAUCGCUAGUAAUCGCGGAUCAGAAUGCCGCGGUGAAUACGUUCCCGGGUCUUGUACACACCGCCCGUCACACCAUGGGAGUCGGAAAUGCCCGAAGUCUGUGACCCAACCUGAGAGGGAGGGAGCAGCCGAAGGCAGGUCUGAUGACUGGGGUGAAGUCGUAACAAGGUAGC
rnacentral:rRNA from 1 species